GCCAGGUGUGGUGGCACAUGCCUGUAAUCCCAGCAGCUUGGGAGGCUGAGGCAGGAGGAUCACAAGUUCAAAGCCAGCCUCAG
rnacentral:sRNA from 1 species